GGAGCCUCAAAGCGUGGAAAGCCAGAGCUUCAGGCAGAAGAAAAGAACACUGGGGUGCACACACAAGCUCCCCUGAGAAGUGCUCUUGUGAAGCCGGGAGCCUGGCUGCCGUUAAAGCUGGACUUGAUUAUGCAAGAGUCACUGCUGUGAGUCACCUGGGUAAAGAACGCUCUGGCCACCUUUGCAUCCUCUCUGCCACCUCACCAUCCAUCUUGCCAUCAUCUAGUGACACCCAUUCCCAGUCGGCCUUACCAAUGAUGGUGGCUGACAAGUGUGGGGGAGGUUUCAGAGGGUGAGAACUUGACAAUCAUGGUGAAGAGUAUGUUGGCAGACAGUAGCUGAGAGGUCACAUCUGAUCCACACCUUGGAGGCAAAGACAGAGAAAACAUGCAAGACUGGGCCUGAUAGCAGAGAGAGCUUUAAGACCCCUCGAAGGUGAAUGUGAACUCAUUACAGUCAGGAGACCGAGCUGGGACAGGCUUGUGCCUGUCUUCAGAUGGGAAAUCUAAAGAGUGGAGAAAGCCUGGCUGGGAGCUACCAAGCCUGGAAGAGGAACCUGCA